GUGGAUGUAGCUCAGCUGGUUAGAGCGUCGCUCUGUGGAAGCGAAGGUCGCGGGUUCAAAUCUCGUCAUCCACCCCA
rnacentral:tRNA from 1 species